GUGAGGAAUAUUGGUCAAUGGGCGAAAGCCUGAACCAGCCAUGUCGCGUGAAGGAUGAAGGUCCUAUGGAUUGUAAACUUCUUUUGCAGGAGGGUAAAGUGAGCUACGUGUAGUUCAUUGCAAGUACCCUGCGAAUAAGCAUCGGCUAACUCCGUGCCAGCAGCCGCGGUAAUACGGAGGAUGCGAGCGUUAUCCGGAUUUAUUGGGUUUAAAGGGUGCAUAGGCGGACUAAUUAGUCAGCGGUGAAAUUUUGCGGCUCAACCGUAAAACUGCCGUUGAAACUGUUAGUCUUGAGUGCGGUAGAGGUAGGCGGAAUGUGUGGUGUAGCGGUGAAAUGCUUAGAUAUCACACAGAACACCGAUUGCGUAGGCAGCUUACUGGAGCGCAACUGACGCUGAGGCACGAAAGCGUGGGGAUCGAACAGGAUUAGAAACCCGGGUAGUCC
rnacentral:rRNA from 1 species